rnacentral:rRNA from 1 species
GGUUUAGGGCACUGGAAGGUCCCUAAACCGAAAGGGGCUCUGCCCGCCCGAGGAUGGGCCGGCGGCCGAUUAGGUAGUUGGUGGGGUAACGGCCCACCAAGCCCAUAAUCGGUACGGGCAGUGAGAGCUGGAGCCCGGAGAUGGACACUGAGACACGGGUCCAGGCCCUACGGGGCGCAGCAGGCGCGAAACCUCCGCAAUGCUCGAAAGAGCGACGGGGGGACCCCAAGUGCCGUGGUACAACCACGGCUUUUCCGGAGUGUAAGAAGCUCCGGGAAUAAGGGCUGGGCAAGGCCGGUGGCAGCCGCCGCGGUAAUACCGGCGGCCCGAGUGGUGGCCACUAUUAUUGGGCCUAAAGCGUCCGUAGCCGGGCUUGUAAGUCCCUGGCGAAAUCCCACGGCUCAACCGUGGGGCUUGCUGGGGAUACUGCAAGCCUUGGGACCGGGAGAGGCCGGGGGUACUCCUGGGGUAGGGGUGAAAUCCUAUAAUCCCAGGAGGACCGCCAGUGGCGAAGGCGCCCGGCUGGAACGGGUCCGACGGUGAGGGACGAAGGCCAGGGGAGCAAACCGGAUUAGAUACCCGGGUAGUCCUGGCUGUAAAGGAUGCGGGCUAGGUGUUGCUUGGACCUCGAGUCCAAGCAGUGCCGCAGGG